rnacentral:lncRNA from 10 species
CUGAAAAAUUAUAUCUUCUGGGUGCAGAAAUUUGCCUGAAAGGGUUAUACGAAACUGAGAAUGGGUCAAAACAAAACAAAACGGAAAAAACAAGACUUCUGGCCACAGGAAAUCUGGCAUUUUUUAAAGUUUGCGCCCCACAAAGAGGAAAUAUUCCAAAGGUACUCAGGAUGUAAAAGGGGAGAUCUUCACAGAUGCCUCCGUGGAUGGCAUGGCAAUCCAUCCAUCAAUGAGAAGACCAUGAUUUCUUUUAAUUUUCUGUGUGUUUCCACAUUCCCCAGUGAGAAUUCUUCCACCUUUUUUUGUGCCAUGGGAAAAACCUGAAGGGCAGGCAGAGCUGCUCCCGAACUUGUGACCUUCUCUGAGGUUGCAGCGGCUCUUGUAGAACAUGACUCUGGGACAUCACUUCCUUUUGUUUUCUUUCGGAGCUGAACCAAAGAAUGUGCACCCUCUUUCUCUAGUGCUGUGGUGUCUGCUUAUUUUUGUAUUUGUGCUUUCCAUCCAUCUUCUGUGAUCACAAGGCAUUCUUAAGGUUUUCUAGCACGACUUGCGGACAUCCAGACUCGUGGGGGGCCCACCCAUGGCUCGGUAAGCCAGCAGCCCAGGGCACUGGCACUACCAUGAGGCACUGCAUUAAUUGCUGCAUACAGCUGUUACCCGACGGCGCACACAAGCAGCAGGUCAACUGCCAAGGGGGCCCCCAUCACGGUCACCAGGCGUGCCCCACGUGCAAAGGAGAAAACAAAAUUCUGUUUCGUGUGGACAGUAAGCAGAUGAACUUGCUUGCUGUUCUCGAAGUGAGGACUGAAGGGAACGAAAA